CUGAUGGCGUCAGAAAUAAUUCUUUUUCUUGCUGUCACCUGAUUAAAUGAAACUGACAAGACCUGUUGCUCAGAUAUUGGGAUACAAAACGUUGCCUAUCAGUAACAGAAGCAUACCCUAACAUAAACUGAAAUCUACACUAAAGAUAAAUUCAGGUGAAUACAGACAUCUUCAGGUCUUAUCAUUUGUAUAUGAGUUUACCUUGGGCAGAGAAAACCACU